UAGUGGCGAACGGGUGAGUAACACGUGGGCAAUCUGCCCUGCACUCUGGGACAAGCCCUGGAAACGGGGUCUAAUACCGGAUAUGACCAUCUUGGGCAUCCUUGAUGGUGUAAAGCUCCGGCGGUGCAGGAUGAGCCCGCGGCCUAUCAGCUUGUUGGUGAGGUAACGGCUCACCAAGGCGACGACGGGUAGCCGGCCUGAGAGGGCGACCGGCCACACUGGGACUGAGACACGGCCCAGACUCCUACGGGAGGCAGCAGUGGGGAAUAUUGCACAAUGGGCGAAAGCCUGAUGCAGCGACGCCGCGUGAGGGAUGACGGCCUUCGGGUUGUAAACCUCUUUCAGCAGGGAAGAAGCGAAAGUGACGGUACCUGCAGAAGAAGCGCCGGCUAACUACGUGCCAGCAGCCGCGGUAAUACGUAGGGCGCGAGCGUUGUCCGGAAUUAUUGGGCGUAAAGAGCUCGUAGGCGGCUUGUCACGUCGGUUGUGAAAGCCCGGGGCUUAACCCCGGGUCUGCAGUCGAUACGGGCAGGCUAGAGUUCGGUAGGGGAGAUCGGAAUUCCU
rnacentral:rRNA from 1 species